rnacentral:RNase_P_RNA from 1 species
AAACGAGGCUGAGUGGCCGCGCGAAGGUUUUCGCGAGGAAAGUCGGGACUCCACAGGGCAGGGUGCUGGGUAAUCCCCAGUGGGGGCGACCCCAAGGAAAGUGCCACAGAAAAGAAGACAGCCCGCCUAGCGGCGGGUAAUGGUGAAACGGUGCGGCAAGAGCGCACCAGCGAUCGGGUGACCGGUCGGCUUGGCAAACCCCACCCGGAGCAAGACCAAAUAGGAGGGAGAUCGAGUGGCCCGCUCGUCCCUCGGGUUGGUCGCUGGAGAUGCCAGGUAACUGGCAUCCUAGAUGGAUGGCCACUAAAACGGAAUCCCGCUUACAGGCCUGGUUUUCUU